GAGAGCUCUGCUCUCUUGGUCUCUCUCCCAACGUGUAUCUCUCUCCCUCUCCCUCUCCUCUUUUUUUAUUCUCCAUUGUUGCUCAAUUUUUGAGUUUCAAAUGGAAAUCUUUAGAGUGAGAUUUUGCAAAAGUGUUGUAAAUGAAAGUUGGAGAGCUCGUCGUGAUCUUCGCAAUGGUGUUCUCGGAUUCAUGAUCGGGUGAUGUUUGCAUUUUCAGAUUAGCUUUUCUUCACAUUUGAGGGAAUGCUUUUCGGAUUUGAAGAUCAAACAAUGGGUUUUACCAUUUCAUAAGUAUAAUGUAGUAAUGGAUUGUACUACUUUAUUUGUUGUUUGGCUUAGUGCUAUUUUUUUUUUUUUUUGUAAAGAGUAGUAUCUCCUCUUUUAUUGUAAGCCUUAGGGCAUUUCUUUUAUUUGUAUGUAAAUGUCAUUGUUGUAUAACGAGAGGGAAUAUGUAUAUUUAAUUAUUCAUCAUUUCAUCCAAUGAUGAAAUGUUAUUUGUAAAUGGACUGAAUUAAUGAAUAUUUGCAAUGUUAUCCGAGUGAUAAAAUAC